UACGUAGGGGGCUAGCGUUGUCCGGAAUCAUUGGGCGUAAAGAGCGUGUAGGCGGCCCGGUAAGUCCGCUGUAAAAGUCAAAGGCUCAACCUUUGAAUGUCAGUGGAUACUGUCAAGCUCGAGUCCGGAAGAGGCGAGUGGAAUUCCUGGUGUAGCGGUGAAAUGCGCAGAUAUCAGGAGGAACACCAAUGGCGAAGGCAGCUCGCUGGGACGUGACUGACGCUGAGACGCGAAAGCGUGGGGAGCAAACAGG
rnacentral:rRNA from 1 species